GACAGAGGGUGCAAACGUUGUUCGGAAUUACUGGGCGUAAAGCGCGUGUAGGCUGCCCCGCAAGUCAGAUGUGAAAUCCCCGGGCUCAACCUGGGAACUGCAUCUGAUACUGGCAAGCUUGAGUCUCGUAGAGGGGGGUAGAAUUCCAGGUGUAGCGGUGAAAUGCGUAGAGAUCUGGAGGAAUACCGGUGGCGAAGGCGGCCCCCUGGACGAAGACUGACGCUCAGGUGCGAAAGCGUGGGGAGCAAACAGG
rnacentral:rRNA from 1 species